AUGUGAUUUUAGGCUUAUGUAGACUAAAAUAUAAUAAAUCAUAUUUCUACAAAAGCACUGGAAUCUGGAUAUUCUGUGAAUUUGCCUACGGGAGUAGCUGAGCAGUCAGAUGGAUUGUCAAGGAAGGAUACAGAGUGAACGGCGAUGAACGAAAAGAAGAAACAAAAGACGUUGAAACCUACAUUGUUCAAUAAUAUCUGGAAAACCUUCAUUUGAUCGAGGAAAAGAAUUUGAUUCGAGAGUUUACGUUCUUGUGUAGUCGAUUCACUGGUAAAGAGAAAAGAGCUGGAGGUUUUGAUUUGAUGUGGAAUGAUGGUCCUGUGUAUGCAGAUGAAGGGGGAAUGGACAGCCUGGGUGGCCCUGCGUAUGCUACAAACACUUUCUUAGGUUGCCACAAUGACAGAAAACGUCAGUUGGUUCAACUCUUCAGAUUCUUGCAUUCAAAGAAAACAGCAUCAGUUACAUGAACAAUGCAGCAGACUACAAUACCUCCAUGCCAGAAAGUUUUGACUUUUUGACAAUGAUAUACUUGGCAUUUCAGGGGUUGCCAUAGACUUUGCUCAGAGAUGAAGCUUCUUUACUUCUGACCAGAUUUGAACGAAUUUCCUCAUAAAGAAAUCUAAAACGAAUCUUAUUAUUGGCAUUUAUCACAAGUCGGAUCGCUACGAUUUCCUUUAUUUAUAAGCUGGUUAGGAUAGGAUUUACAUAUUUACCCCUAGAGGGAAGAAAACCGAUCAUAUGGCAAACCAUGGCUUCUCAUCCGGUUACAAUCUGUCUCUUAUCUGGCACAUGUAUUUCUACAUGAUUUAAACUUUAUCAAAGGUUUUGCCAGUUUCGCCCAAACGUAAGUGUUAUUUUUGUAUGUUUUUUUCAAUUGCUUUUAAAAGCAUGGACUUGAUAGUGGAGGUAGCCCUAACGGACAGGCGGUUACGUGAACCACCCUACGAGGAUUCGAGCAAUCCUCUCGCAUAUGACUGUCCCCGCAUGGGAUGCGAACCUGCCGACCCAUGCACUGUAAUCAGAGGUGCGAUGGCGAGCGUAUUCCUGAUGCUCCACACCACCAAGCUAAGUUAUUACAGAUUGUAUACUAAGUAUAUAUAUAUACAUGGCCAGCAGUCGUGUUCUGCAUAAGGCCCCCGUAUAUAACAUUGCAUGGAUUUAAAACAUACUUAUUUUAAUAUUUCUCAGCUACCGUAUAAUGCAUUUGCUUUUAUACUGCUCAAGUGUUGUUAUGGAUUUUAUAAAUAAAGUUUAUGAAUUGGUAUAUUUAGGG